UCCUAUGGCAGGCUGGAUCCAGGAUCCUGAGAUCAUGACCUGAGCUGAAAUCAAGAGUCGGAUGGUUAACUGACUGAGAUACCCAUGUGCUCCAGUCAUGAAAAUUCUAUGCCCAUUUUUUCAGAAUUCUCUUUCAGGAGCAUGACAUUUUUGUAGCAACUGCUAUUGGUCUGCAUGCACAGUUCAGCUAAACAGACCCAAUCUGAUUGAAAGACAGGACAAUAAUCCUUAUUUAGGGGAGAGAUUUCCUUUUUCUUUCUGUGUAGGCUAAAUUAAACAAGGAAAUGUAUGUAUCUAGUUUCUGUUGGCAAUCUCGGUGGUCUUCAAUGAAAGGAGGUCAAAGCGGGAGCCCUGAUUGAUGGGUCUUCACUAGGAGCUUUCCUCAGGUUCUGCUUCUGCUUGCAUGAGAUAAUAAACUUCCUUGUGAUUUAAAGCAUUUUGAGCCUAGUUUCUUUUACUUAAAGCUAAAAGAUAAUUGAAAGACAUCUGUAGUCUAAUUUUUUCCAAGUAAGAUAAAGUAAGACAAAAAAGGUACAAUUAUUGCAUUCAAGUACUAUCAAGUUUCCUGUGGAAGAUUCCUCAUGCAGAAAAAUACCUGUAACCAGAGGUUCUCAAAGACAGGAGAGAACCAUGGUGCCAUGGGUGUUUGGAGUAGUAAAAAUCUCUUUUCUGCUUUUCUGUGAGUAAAAAUCUAGGAAGGCUUCCUAGAGGAAGUGAUAUUUCAGCAGGAUGUCGGAACAGGUAGCUUCUGAGACAAUGACAGGAAUAAAGGCAUUUCAGAAGAGGAAAUGGCAUAUGAAAUGGUGAAGAGGUGGGAAAGGCCAGGGAUUUCUAUGAAAAUGGUAAAGUCCUAGCCACUGUGCUUGACAUUAGAGCAUAUAUUAAACUAAAAUAGAAUCAGGCUGCCUUUCUGAUUAAUGCAUGAAUAUCCAUGGAUAAGCCUCCUAAACAUUUGUUUAGUGUUUCACCCUGUUCAAAAUAUGGUGAGAAGUAUGUUUUUGUCUGCAACACUGCAGAGAAACCAGGCCUAAUGUGGUCAGGGUCACAAACUAAUACAUGAUGAGUUAAACAUAAACCCACACAUCUCCUGGCUUCUGACCCUACUGCUCUGGGGCCUCAAAAAGUGCUGCGGUCUGAAGGUGAUCUUCCUUCUCCAUUAACCAGGGGCAAUCUUGUUCAGUAUUCAUUUUUAAAAGUAUCCCAGUGUGGGUGACUAAUUAUUUGCUUGCCCAACUACCUCUGCAGACAUUACUUUUGUGAAUUUCUCCUAAGUUUUAGAAGGAGUGAUGGAGAAGUCAGACUGGCCUACAGACAUAGACCCCAAACUACAGGAAACAUUUCCCAGCCACUUCCCCUUAAGUCCAUGGGCCAGGAAAAUGUUUUCACAUCAGGCCAUGAAAAUUUUUUUUUUGGUGUAGCUAAUGGUUCAUUUCAAUGGUAAGU
rnacentral:lncRNA from 1 species